rnacentral:lncRNA from 1 species
CCGGCCCAGCCCAGCCCCGGCCCGCUCCCUCAGGGCCGGCCUGGCCCGGGGCCCGUGGGCUUGGGCAGCGGGGAGCGCCGUCCUGCCGCCUAGCCGUGCCCUUGGCGUUGUGGGCCGCCUGUGCCGGCCCCCGGGGUGCGGGCAGUAUGGGACACAGCCGGGGCCGGGAGCGGGCGGAGAGUUUGGGGUGUCUCGGGCCCCCCCCGGCUCCACGGACAGCCCCCGGGCAGGAGGGCUGAAGGGGAAGGGGCGCCCACCGCCACCCCUGUCUCCGUGCCCAGAGGGCUGCCACCGGGCUCCCACAAAAGGGCUUUGAAAGAACCACAGGAGAGGAGAUAAAGGGGGCUUUACUUCACCUCCAAGUCAAAUACUUCUGAGAAAAAGAUCACCCCUGCCAUCUUCCCAUGGCGCAGGAAAAGCAGAGGUGAGGUGGGGUGAGCAGAGGUUAUAGAUGUAGCUGGUGGGUGGUGUGAUGUUUUGGGAACAGCUAGAAUUCAUGGGGUACUGUUUGGGUGCUGGGCAAAUGGAAGUAGGGGAACAGGGUUGAUUCGGCACUGGGAGAGCAGAAUGAAAAGUUGGGAUGAUGACAGACCAGUGUGGAAAAGAGAAGAGAACCCAUAGUACUAAAUGAAGAAAAACUUUCUCAUUAGUUUUUGGAGAUCAACAAACACCAGCUUCCUUAUAUGCUAGGAGCAAGCAGAGAGAUGAAUCAAAAGACAGGACAGAACUACUAUUUAACUGCUUUUUUUAAAAUUGUGUAAUCUGGGAAGUCUGACUAUGUUGAUCCUGUGAUUAAGUCUUAAUAAUGAUUCUGCUGUACUGACUUGUUACUACCUCUAUGCUUUGCUGCAUAGAAAGAAAGAGUCCAAGUACGGUGUGGAAAUAAGUGCUAGUUGUAUGUGGAUACCUUAGCUGAAGUUGCUAAGGAGCAGACCUAGCUAUUUCCUUCUCAAAAUCCAGACAUACCUUUCAAAUCUAUGUUACUUGAUAAUUGUGUUGGGUUUUUUUUUUUAAAAAAAAACACUUAUUGUGGGUUCGUCAAGUUAUACUCUAUAGAUGUUCUUAGGAAAUGUAAAUUUUCUAUGUGGGUAGUCCUAUGAUGAAAUAUAUGUACCAUCUCUGCAUUCAGGUAAUUAUUAAUGGGAUGGAUUCUGCAUUUGGAAGGUGCCUGUCUUCUAUGGUUUAACAGAAAUGGUUCUAUUAGACUUUUUAAGUGUGCUCUAGGAGGCAAAUCCUUCUUCAGACGAAUUUAAGUGGUAUCUGCUAUAGUUUUGCACAA